AGAAUCAACGCUGGCGGCGUGCCUAACACAUGCAAGUCGAACGAGAAAGUGGAGCAAUCCAUGAGUAAAGUGGCGACCGGGUGAGUAACACGUGACUAACCUACCCUCGAGUGGGGAAUAACAUCGGGAAACCGAUGCUAAUACCGCAUAACAUCGCAAGAUCAAAGCCGAAAGGCGCUUGAGGAGGGGGUCGCGGCUGAUUAGCUAGUUGGUAGGGUAAUGGCCUACCAAGGCUUAGAUCGGUA
rnacentral:rRNA from 1 species